CACGUAGGUGGGUUUGUAAGUCAGAUGUGAAAGCCUUCUGUUCAACGGAAGAAUUGCAUCUGAAACUGCAAGUCUUGAGUGUAGGAGGGGAGAAUGGAACUUCUGUUGGAGCGGUGAAAUGCGUAGAUAUCAGAAGGAACGCCGGCGGCGAAAGCGAUUCUCUGGCCUAUUACUGACACUCAGUGUGCGAAAAGCUAGGGGAGCAAACG
rnacentral:rRNA from 1 species